rnacentral:lncRNA from 1 species
CUGCUGGCUCCUGUUCAACUUGCCAUCAGCCCCAAGGACCCCCAGGUCCCUUUCUGUGGGGCUGCUCUCCAGCACAGGCAGUAGAGAAUUCAUAUGUUUAUGAAAUGCCAGAAAGCUGAAACCAGAUAAAUAUAGUGUGCAAGUUUGAAGAAGUAGGAAAUGGAAAAGGAAAGGGGGAUUAUAAACCUGACACUUAUCUUCAAUUUCCUCAAUAAUUCUGGAAGACUACCUGAAAUUGGGAGAUAAUGAAAUUAUUUUGAAGUACAGAUUAGAAUUCAACAGGUCUUAAGAGACUGAAGAUAUGAUAUGAAAAUAAGACAAAGCUUUUCAAGACAGCACAAGGUACUGUAAAUUAAUGGGAA